rnacentral:tRNA from 1 species
AUUCCUGUGGUUUUAUGUGUCCUUUAGUUGGAUGGUGGUUGAUUGUUCC